UGGGAUAGGACUUCCUCUAAUGAGCUG
rnacentral:piRNA from 1 species